AGUGAACGCUGGCGGUAGGCCUAACACAUGCAAGUCGAACGGCAGCACAGUAAGAGCUUGCUCUUACGGGUGGCGAGUGGCGGACGGGUGAGGAAUACAUCUGAAUCUACUUUUUCGUGGGGGAUAACGUAGGGAAACUUACGCUAAUACCGCAUACGACCUACGGGUGAAAGCAGGGGAUCUUCGGACCUUGCGCGAUUGAAUGAGCCGAUGUCGGAUUAGCUAGUUGGCGGGGUAAAGGCCCACCAAGGCGACGAUCCGUAGCUGGUCUGAGAGGAUGAUCAGCCACACUGGAACUGAGACACGGCCCAGACUCCUACGGGAGGCAGCAGUGGGGAAUAUUGGACAAUGGGCGCAAGCCUGAUCCAGCCAUACCGCGUGGGUGAAGAAGGCCUUCGGGUUGUAAAGCCCUUUUGUUGGGAAAGAAAAGCAGCAGGUUAAUACCCCGCUGUUCUGACGGUACCCAAAGAAUAAGCACCGGCUAACUUCGUG
rnacentral:rRNA from 1 species